UACGUAGGGUGCAAGCGUUAAUCGGAAUUACUGGGCGUAAAGCGUGCGCAGGCGGCUUUGCAAGACAGAUGUGAAAUCCCCGGGCUCAACCUGGGAACUGCAUUUGUGACUGCAAGGCUGGAGUACGGCAGGGGGGGAUGGAAUUCCGCGUGUAGCAGUGAAAUGCGUAGAUAUGCGGAGGAACACCGAUGGCGAAGGCAAUCCCCUGGGCCUGUACUGACGCUCAUGCACGAAAGCGUGGGGAGCAAACAGG
rnacentral:rRNA from 1 species